rnacentral:misc_RNA from 1 species
AACAGCAAUGUACCCUCCACCAAGUAUCACAGCACGCUUUGGUAACUCUUCCAAGCUCAAGGCUUCAUCUGAAGUUAUGGCUAGCUCCUGUCCUGGAAUGUCUGGACGAUGAGCCCUACUACCAGUUGCAAUUAGAAUGUGCUUCGCCGAAUAGCUUAUCUUGGUGCCAUCCAGUUGAAUUAACUCAACUUCAUUUGGACCUACCACUCUUCCCUCACCUUCAAAUAGUUUUACUCCUGCAUUUGAAAGUAGCCUCUUAUAGAUCCCAUUUAACCGUACAAUCUCCUCGGUCUUUUUAUGCAAAAGCUUCUUCCAGUUGAAAUUGACAUUCUCAUUCACUUCCCAUCCAUAAUUCUUUGCAUCCUCCAGUUCUGGCCCAUAGGCUGCUCCAUAAACCAAAAUCUUUUUAGGAACGCAACCACGAAGAACACACGUUCCACCAACUCCCCCACUAACUUCAGAGCCGAUGGGAUCAAACGGAAGCUCACAGAUUGCAACCUUAGCUCCAUAUUGGGCUGAAAACCGACUAGCUCGAACCCCACCACUUCCAGCACCUAUUACGAAUAAAUCAAAGUCAUAGUGCGCUUCUUCUUCACCAGGUUUGCUCAACUCUCCAUCAAUUAGCAUCUUCCUAGCCAUGAUUAGUCUUAGUAAACUUGAAGCAAGCAGUUAUCAGCAAAGUUAAUCCUUUUCAGCUUAAGGAGAUAGUUAAUCUGGAAAACUUCAGUAGAUAUAGUGAGAGAGACAACUUUCACUCGCCGCCGG